AUCCUUGAAACUGAAGAACAAGAUAUGGCAGAAGCUGCUCACCCAAAAUACCUGACCCCUCUCCUUGUCCACACCAUAAAUACCAGGCGUAUGCAACCAGUGCUGCCACACACACACACACAGACACCAAACGCCACAGAACUUGCAGGCAUGGCUGAAGGUUAAGAAGAAAAAGAGGAGGGCGGCCUCACAUGGAGAUGGAGAGCCCCUUUUGGUAGCCAAGAAUGACUUGCCUAUGCACGCCCUCUGUUGGCAGUUCCGUCCGGCAGCCAUGGCGACGGUUGCACAAGGUGAGUUUUUGCGGCGUGGAUGAUGCAAUGUGGCUGCAUCGGCAGGUCUUCUUGGCUAGCCAGUGGGCUCUCGUCCACCAUGCCAGGCCUCCCUCUUCAAAAUUUCCCUGAUUUUUGCCCUCUGCACAUGGAACUUGGUGAUUAAACUUUUGGAUAUAGGCCGUUCUUUGGCGCUGAACUCCCCUGAUUGAACACAGCAUGUUGUAAAUACUACUCACCUGGCUAUGCACUCCUGAGUUGCAUGCAGUUGCAGAACCAAGAAAUGUUACCGCUGUUGAAAUCAUUAAAAAAAAUAGAGAAAUGCCUUUGCAUGGCUACGGGUGUUUCAGCUUCUGCAGGGCAGAGAUGAUCAUCAGGUUUGUCCGGUCUGCAGUUGGCAUGCAGUUCUCGCCAGAUCCAAGAAGCGGCCCUGCCAUGCCAACAAGCACGGCCACAAGGAGUUCGUGUCUGCGCGUGUGGCAGCGCAUGAGACCCCAACCGCCACACGUGUAGGGCAUUCCACGCACCGGCUUUCCAAGGUGUACUCGUGCCGUCUGCACGUUGCACGCGUUCAGCAUUUCGUCGUUGCGUGCGUACAGUACAGACGGGGCUGGAGGCGUUCUCUCCCCCCUCCUCCCCCUCUAAUAAAAAUCUUGCACAUCAAUUGUGGUUGUAUAACAUUUCUACUAGGAUGAAAACGGUCGGAAACGGUAUUUAUUCGGUAAUCAGUUUGUUCUUUGAUUGCGAAUAAAUAGGAUAUAGAAUAUACAAUACAAAUUUGUAUUCUUGUUUUUA